CUGCUGAUGAGGGUCUGGUAGCGCUUGUACGUGAGCGGAGACUGGCCUCCGUUCAGCUCAAUGAUCCUGAGAGACAACAAUCCACCAUUUACAUGCAGUCCCAAGUUCUCACCCACGUUCAUUGCAAGGAAGAGACAGCAUUAAUAACAUUCUUCAAAACUCCUUUUGUGUUCAACGGUGUAAUGUCAAACCAUUUGGAACGACAUCAGGGCAACACGCAGUCAUGGAAGAACAUGUGAAGGAGAUAUCUCAAUUAAGAAGGACAAACUCUGCAUCCCAGCCUGCCCACUGAUUUAUUCAUAUGCAUGGUGCAUA